AUGAACGCUAGCGGCAGGCUUAACACAUGCAAGUCGAGGGGUAUAAGUCUUCGGAUUUAGAGACCGGCGCACGGGUGCGUAACGCGUAUGCAAUCUACCUUUUACAGAGGGAUAGCCCAGAGAAAUUUGGAUUAAUACCUCAUAGUAUUAUGAAAUGGCAUCAUUUUAUAAUUAAAGUCACAACGGUAAAAGAUGAGCAUGCGUCCCAUUAGCUAGUUGGUAAGGUAACGGCUUACCAAGGCUACGAUGGGUAGGGG
rnacentral:rRNA from 1 species